CACGUAGGGCGCAAGCGUUGUCCGGAAUUAUUGGGCGUAAAGAGCUCGUAGGCGGUUCAGUAAGUCGGGUGUGAAAACUCUGGCUCAACCCAGAGACGCCACCCGAUACUGCUGUGACUUGAGUACGGUAGGGGAGUGGGGGAAUUCCUGGUGUAGCGGUGAAAUGCGCAGAUAUCAGGAGGAACACCAGUGGCGAAGGCGACUACCUGGCCUGUUUCUUGACGCUGAGGCGCGAAAGCUAGGGGAGCAAACGGG
rnacentral:rRNA from 1 species